rnacentral:rRNA from 1 species
GAUGAACGCUGGCGGCGUGCCUAAUACAUGCAAGUCGAACGCACUGAGAGAAGUGCUUGCACUUUUCAAUUUGAGUGGCGAACGGGUGAGUAACACGUGGGCAACCUACCUGAUAGCGGGGGAUAACGAGUGGAAACAUUCGCUAAUACCGCAUAACAAUAGAGAAGGCAUCUUCUUUAUUUAAAAGGCGCUUUCAAGCGUCACUAUCAGAUGGGCCCGCGGUGCAUUAGCUAGUUGGUGGGGUGAAGGCCUACCAAGACGAUGAUGCAUAGCCGAGUGGAGAGACUGAUCGGCCACAUUGGGACUGAGACACGGCCCAAACUCCUACGGGAGGCUGGAGUAGGGAAUCUUCCACAAUGGACGAAAGUCUGAUGGGGCAACGCCGCGUGUGUGAUGAAGGCUUUCGGGUCGUAAAGCACUGUUGUAUGGGAAGAAAUGCUAGGCUAGGAAAUGAGCUUAGUUUGACGGUACCAUACCAGAAAGGGACGGCUAAAUACGUGCCAGCCGCCGCGGUAA